rnacentral:lncRNA from 1 species
GAAGGCGAGGCCCAAUAAGCAAAUUCCCAGCCCAAUCAAGAAAUCCAUCCAUAUUUAGUUGAAAAUCAGGCCAAAUUGUCAAAGUGGCCCAAGUUGUAAAGUUUUAUUUUUAUUUUUAUUUAUUUAUUUAUUUAUUUACUUAGUUUAAAUUUUUAUGUCAAUAUUCAGUCCAAGAGUCCCAGAUAAAAUGACCUUUGAC